ACAACAGAGCAGAGACACACGCUGAUUAGCAGAUUCUCUCUCUCUACUGGCAGCAAGUCAUAGUCUCAGUCAAGCAGUACCUCCUCCCUUUUCAUAUGAGCGGAGCUCACGCUGCCUGCCUUCAUGCUCUCAAAUCAAGACUCACGACGAGCUCAGAUGCCCGAAGGAGUCCUUCAAUACGCCUUGUUUUAAAACCACGCUGGGUACUUAAAAAUAAGAGGGCAUAACAAUUCAUCUCAAAGAUUUGAUAGUAUUACCUUUGAGAGAAGAGCACAUCAAAUCUGUUCUAUCUAUUAUGAAAAUAUAUUUGCAUAAGAUAGAUUUUAAAAUAUAUGCAAAGACUCGCUGACAUAACGCUUCUAGGUUGUUCUGGGUGGUUGCUAUGCAGUUGCUAAGGUGCGCAGAGUGGUUAUUACACAUUGCUGUGUCAUUUGCUAGGGUGUUCUAGGUAGUUGCCAGGGCACUGCUAUGCAGAUGCUAAAGUGCACCUCGUGGUUACUGGCACAUUGCAGUGUGGUUGCAAGUGUGUUCUGGGAUGUUGCCAAGGUGUUGCUAAGAUGUUCUGAGUGGUUAUGAGCACAUUGCAUUGCUAUGUCAUUUGCUAGAUGUUCUGGAUGGUCGCUGGAGGAUUACUAUGCAGCUGCUGAGAUUACACAGAUGGUUAUGGCAUCUACCAGCAGCGGUUGAGAGGGCCAUGCAAACCAGACAAACCUUGACCCCUUGAUCACAGCGACAAGUACCUUUAAGACAGUGAGCGACACCUCCGCCUCAGCGCUCCAAAAGACCUGCUAUUCAUCCAAAGAAUAAACCCACUUCAAUCAUCCAAAUGUCAACAAAGAAAAGAAAGGACACACUAUCAAAAACUAAUCUCAUGGAAAACAUGUACAGCCGUUAGAAAUAAACAACCCAGGGUAGCAAACAUAUCUCUGGGAAUAAUAAUAAAAAAGUCCCCCCACAAGAACCUCAAAACACACUUUGGUGAGGGAAGUCAAGGUUUUAAUACUCCUCUGUUUCACUUUGACGAGAGACAAACACCGGGGUAACGCUGUAACGCUCAAAAGGUUCUGUGACAGUAAAACACUAUAAAAAUGAAAGCAAAGCAAACUCACUAAUCCUCUUUUCUCAAAGCAGCUCAGACAAAAGUGUCUGCCAAUCCCUCGCAUACAAAUUAGCGUUGUCAGUGUGGACAGGAUGUAAGACGGGACUUAUUAAUGUCGAUUGUUUGACUAGUCUCGUUCUGGCGGGAUCCUCAAAAAAAGUGUUUGGAACUUCGGCUGGCAACAUGGUCUUGGGAAUCGCACCUUAAGAUCUCCUGUCAAAGAGAUCACUCUGCUUACUGACCUUAAUCUUUCGCACAGCACAGAAAGAGAAAAUGACACGUCCCAAGGAGAUUUUUACAUGCCUGUGUGUAGUCUUGAUGUUAUCUGAGGUGUUUAGAAAAUGAAAAUGUUGAGCCCUUGGGAGUGCAGAGGCCUCAAGGCAUAUUUCUUAAUUUGAAGUAAAAAAAGAAAAAUAUGUUUAGAGCUUAUGAUGAUGGAGUGCAUGAUAUCUGUGAUUAAAGAGAUCUGAUUAAAGAAGCACCCAUUCCAUCUGAUGGAAAGAGAGAGAGAGAGAGAAAGAGCUAGAAGUGAUUGGUUUGAUGAAGAAAUUAGAUCAGUAACUGCAGUGAUAAAA